GGAACAUCUACCGGCGGCGACGUGACGGCGGCGUCGUGACGGCGGCGUAUAUCAGAAAUGUAUCCAAAAAAAUGACAUGUUUACUAAGUACGUCGUCUCCAGAAUGCCACCAUCGAAAAGAAAACGUGAAUGUGUCUAGAGAACACUUGCUGCUUACCCGAAUGAAGAUCCCUCAAAACUCGUGAAGGAGUACAUGGAUGUUUCCCAUGAUGAAGUCCUAACCUCUAUGCACAAGACCACCUUUGGAAUCUGUGUUGUCUCUUUGUGGACUUUUGAAGUGUAUUCUCAUUGACUUCUGGCUUUCUCUAAGUGCAACUUGAAAUAAUUGAAGAAAGAAAAUCAGGAGUCCCUUUCUUUUGCAAUCUGCCUCCUUUAAAUUGGAAAAAAGCAGCUAACAAUGCAUCAGUUGUUCAAAAAAAGACCAAUAUUUAAAGGACAUGGUAACAUGGUCAUACUUGAAACAAAUAUACUGUAACACAGCCAACAAGUAUUUCAAGUUGCACUUAGAGAAAGCCUAUAUGAGUAUUUUAAAAUCCUUACACUUAAAGGCAAGAUGCUUUUAUUUAUAUAUAUAUAUAUAUAUAUAUAUAUAUAUAUAUAUAUACAUUUUCUUGUAAUAAGGAGAAUUACUUUUGGAUUUUGAAAUCUGAAGGUAGUCUUUUACAGAGUAAAGAUAAACAUUUUGUAAAACUAUUUUCCCUAAAUGCAUGCUAAACCUACUCAUACAUGUUCACUGAAUGCAUUAUUCAUUGGAUAAACCCUCAUCAAAGGAUCCUGAAUGUGGAAGUACAGCAGCAGCAGUUUAUAUACCACUUUUUACAGUUAAAAUAGCAAAAAGAAUCACUCAUCAUUUUCAUUCUUACAUUUUAUUCCUGAAAUUGAGCAAGAAGAGUACAAACAGUGCCUUAAAGUGAUGACAUUUAAAAACAGCAAUAUAUGAGUCAACAAGAAUAAAUUAGAAUUGGGGGAAAAAAGACACAAUAAAACAGAUAAACGAAUACAUUUGACAUGGUAGAGGUUGAACAUUUUUAAAUAUGUGAUAUGUAUUAUAAAUAUUAAUGGUUUUGAUAGUUCCUAAAAAUCAAUGAAAUUAGCCAUUGUGUUUAUCAUAAGGAAGCCAAAAAUGAUAUAUUUGAGAGAUAUGGAAAAGUCUUGUAUAAUAAGUAUCAAAAUAUAUGUUCCACAGAAGAAAGAAAGUCAUACAGGUUUGGAAGGACAUGAAGAGGAGUAAAUGAUGACAGAAUCUUCUUGUUUGGGUGAAAUAUCCCUUUAAGUAAAAGUACAAAAGUAUUAGCAUCAUAUACUUAAAACAUCAAGAGUAAAAGUUCAGAAUGGCACAUUCCAGAAUAUUAUAUAUUACUGGAUUAUAAUUAUUGAAUUUAUGUGUUCAUCUUUAAAGUUGUUGCUAGUAAUGGUGGGCUCAUUUUAAUGACUGUAUAUUACUUAGUAAAAUUACAGCUCUGCUGAAGAUGUAUAAUUCGCAAUGUCACCUGUGACUAUGUUUAUAUCAGUUGUGACUAUAGCACAUCAGUUUGCCUUCAGGACUUUCUAGCAGAAAGACUUUCUAACACGUGGUUGAAAUUGUGAAAGAGUCUAGUAUCUAAAACUAACCAAAUUGCGACUGAAAACCGAAAAUAAAUGUCAAUAAGUUCUGGCUACAAAUAAGACAGGAACUCCAGCCUCCUAAUUGAAAUAAAAGUCCAUGACCCAUUCAGCUGUCAAUAAAUUUACACUUUCUGAGUUUUGUCACUCUUUUUACAACCUCACCUAAACCCUUUGGUAGAAAGCUCUGACACUAGCUUUGCAUUAGAUUGAUGUACCUAUCAACGACUUUCUAUAGCGGCGACGUACUUAUCCACGACGUUGGAGUCACACGUCUAUUGAGGCGACGUAUCCUUCUCUCACGUAAAAGUACACGACUGUCUCCUUCGUGGCACUAUCCACUCGAAAUACUGCAAGCCCUCUUGGACGUAGAAAUUAUGUACAAUUUUUUUUAUUUUUUUUUAAGUCUGUAGACGUUCAGGACAGGUGCAGAAAAUCGACAUUCAUAUUCAGUUCAGAAGUUGCAAUACCAGUUGCGGUGAGUUGCCUGUUGUACAGCAUAAAAUUUGAAAUAAAGUGAGUUUUAAUUGAAUCCAGCGUAAGACUCUUUAUUGGUCCAGAAGCAGUAUAAAUUAUGUCUAAAAUGAGUCUGCAGUUGACGUUAUAAGACGUUGAAAAGACGUCCACAAUUACCCCAUUUGAACUCAUUUUCAACCUUGUAAAGAGGUCCUGUGGACGUCAACAUCGGACGUUCAGAGGACGUCAUAAAAAGACGUCAUAAAAACUUUCAUUCUGGCUCCUCAGGGGAUGUAUUUUUAACAUGCAACAAAGACGUUCAAAAGACGUCUUUUGGACGUAUAUUUGCUCAGUGGGAUAGCCUAUAUGAAUUUAGAUUUAAAAGGAUAUCAAUAUACUUCUAACAUUUCAAUAAAACAAAUGUUUCUGCACAUCAGAAUUGAUACAAAAUGUAAAACAGCGGUAUGUUAUUGAAUGAUGGAUGCAUGCGCUCACAUCUGUUACAGUGGUAAGAUUAAAAAAAUAUUAAAACACAAUUCAAUUUAUCGAUAAAAAUUGUUAUUAAUUUAUUUAAAAAAAUAUAUUUUACG